GACGAACGCUGGCGGCGUGCUUAACACAUGCAAGUCGAACGGACAGACCCUGCUUUUGUGGGGUGCUCGAGUGGCGAACGGGUGAGUAACACGUGAGUAACAUGCCCUUGACUUUGGGAUAACUUCAGGGAACUGGGGCUAAUACCGGAUAGGAGCUCCUGCAGCAUGGUGGGGGUUGGAAAGUUUCGGCGGUUGGGGAUGGAAUCGCGGCUUAUCAGCUUGUUGGUCGGGUAGUGGCUUACCAAGGCUUUGAAGGGUAGCCGGCCUGAGAGGGUGACCGGCCACAAUGGGACUGAGAUACGGCCCAGACUCCUACGGGCGGCAGCAGUGGGGAAUAUUGCACAGUGGGCGGAAGCCUGAUGCAGCAACGCCGCGUGCGGGAUGACGGCCUAUGGGUUGUAAACCGCUUUCGCAUGUGACGAAGCGUGAUUGACGGUAACGGGUCAAGAAGCAACGGCUAACUACGUG
rnacentral:rRNA from 1 species